rnacentral:rRNA from 1 species
AAUCAACGCUGGCGGCGUGCCUAACACAUGCAAGUCGCACGAGAAAGUGGAGCAAUCCAUGGGUAAAGUGGCGCACGGGUGAGUAACACGUGACUAACCUACCCUAGAGUGGGGGAUAACCUCGGGAAACAGGGGCUACUACCGCAUAACCUCGUGAGGUGAAAUUCCUUGCGAGCAAAGCCGAAAGGCGUUUUUAGCGGGGGUCGCGGCUGAUUAGCUAGUUGGCGGGGUAACGGCCCACCAAGGCGAUGAUCAGUAUCCGGCCUGAGAGGGCGCACGGACACACUGGAACUGAAACACGGUCCAGACUCCUACGGGAGGCAGCAGUGGGGAAUUUUGCGCAAUGGGGGAAACCCUGACGCAGCAACGCCGCGUGGAGGAUGAAGUCCCUUGGGACGUAAACUCCUUUCGACCCGGACGAAUAAUGACGGUACGGGUGGAAGAAGCCCCGGCUAACUUCGUGCCAGCCGCCGCGGUAAGAC